UACAGAGGUCUCAAGCGUUGUUCGGAUUCAUUGGGCGUAAAGGGUGCGUAGGCGGCGCGGUAAGUCGGGUGUGAAAUCUCGGAGCUUAACUCGGAAAGGUCAACUGAUACUGCGGGGCUAGAGUGCGGAAGGGGCAACUGGAAUUCUUGGUGUAGCGGCGAAAUGCGUAGAUAUCAAGAGGAACACCUGCGGCGAAGGCGGGUUGCUGGGACGGUACUGACGCUGAGACGCGAAAGCGUAGGGAGCAAACAGG
rnacentral:rRNA from 1 species